rnacentral:snoRNA from 1 species
GUAUGAUGAAACCACAGCUGGCACCAGUCCUAGAAGACUUGUACUCUUUUGCUGCGGAUAACGCUUUGCGGGAGCAUCGCUCCUUGUCCUGAU